rnacentral:rRNA from 1 species
AUUGAACGCUGGCGGCAGGCCUAACACAUGCAAGUCGAGCGGAUGAAGGGAGCUUGCUCCUGGAUUCAGCGGCGGACGGGUGAGUAAUGCCUAGGAAUCUGCCUGGUAGUGGGGGAUAACGUCCGGAAACGGGCGCUAAUACCGCAUACGUCCUGAGGGAGAAAGUGGGGGAUCUUCGGACCUCACGCUAUCAGAUGAGCCUAGGUCGGGUUAGCUAGUUGGCGGGGUAAAGGCCUACCAAGGCGACGAUCCGUAACUGGUCUGAGAGGAUGAUCAGUCACACUGGAACUGAGACACGGUCCAGACUCCUACGGGAGGCAGCAGUGGGGAAUAUUGGACAAUGGGCGAAAGCCUGAUCCAGCCAUGCCGCGUGUGUGAAGAAGGUCUUCGGAUUGUAAAGCACUUUAAGUUGGGAGGAAGGGCAGUAAGUUAAUACCUUGCUGUUUUGACGUUACCAACAGAAUAAGCACCGGCUAACUUCGUG